rnacentral:piRNA from 1 species
AGGCAUCUGUGCCCUAGUGGUUGGAG